rnacentral:tRNA from 2 species
GGCCCUAUCGUCUAGCCCGGUCCAGGAUACCGGACUCUCAUUCCGGAGACACGGGUUCAAAUCCCGUUAGGGCCGCCA